rnacentral:sRNA from 1 species
GCCAGGCACUGUGGUGCAUGCCUGUAAUCCCAGUGACUUGGGAGGCUGAGGCAGGAGGGCUGUGAGUUCAAAUCCAGCCUCAG